GAUGAACGCUGGCGGCGUGCUUAACACAUGCAAGUCGAACGGGAAACCUUUUAUUGAAGCUUCGGCAGAUUUAGCUGGUUUCUAGUGGCGGACGGGUGAGUAACGCGUGGGUAACCUGCCCUAUACAGGGGGAUAACAACCAGAAAUGGUUGCUAAUACCGCAUAAGCGCACAGGGCCGCAUGGUCCGGUGUGAAAAACUCCGGUGGUAUAGGAUGGACCCGCGUUGGAUUAGCCAGUUGGCAGGGUAACGGCCUACCAAAGCGACGAUCCAUAGCCGGCCUGAGAGGGUGAACGGCCACAUUGGGACGGAGACACGGCCCAGACUCCUACGGGAGGCAGCAGUGGGGAAUAUUGCACAAUGGGGGAAACCCUGAUGCAGCGACGCCGCGUGAAGGAAGAAGUAUCUCGGUAUGUAAACUUCUAUCAGCAGGGAAGAUAGUGACGGUACCUGACUAAGAAGCCCCGGCUAACUACGU
rnacentral:rRNA from 1 species